AGAGCGAACGCUGGCGGCAGGCCUAACACAUGCAAGUCGAGCGCCCGUAGCAAUACGGGAGCGGCAGACGGGAUAGUAACACGUGGGAACGCGCCCUUCGGUUCGGAAUAACUCAGGGAAACUUGAGCUAAUACCGAAUACGCCCUUACGGGGAAAGAUUUAUUGCCGAAGGAACGGCCCGCGUCCGAUUAGCUAGUUGGUGAGGUAAUGGCUCACCAAGGCUACGAUCGGUAGCUGGUCUGAGAGGAUGACCAGCAUCACUGGGACUGAGACACGGCCCAGACUCCUACGGGAGGCAGCAGUGGGGAAUAUUGGACAAUGGGCGCAAGCCUGAUCCAGCCAUGCCGCGUGGAUGAUGAAGGCCUUAGGGUUGUAAAGUCCUUUUAACGGGGAAGAUAAGUGACGGUACCCGUAGAAUAAGCCCCGGCUAACUUCGUGCCAGCAGCCGC
rnacentral:rRNA from 1 species